rnacentral:rRNA from 1 species
CGGACCAAGAGACCCGCGCACGGGUGCGUAACGCGUAUGCAAUCUACCUUUGCAGAGGGAUAGCCCAGAGAAAUUUGGAUUAGUACCUCAUAGUAUAGUACUUUGGCAUCAAGGAACUAUUAAAGUCACAACGGCAAAAGAUGAGCAUGCGUCCCAUUAGCUAGUUGGUAAGGUAACGGCUUACCAAGGCAACGAUGGGUAGGGGUCCUGAGAGGGAGAUCCCCCACACUGGUACUGAGACACGGACCAGACUCCUACGGGAGGCAGCAGUGAGGAAUAUUGGACAAUGGGCGCAAGCCUGAUCCAGCCAUGCCGCGUGCAGGAUGACGGUCCUAUGGAUUGUAAACUGCUUUUUGUACAGGAAGAAACACUGGUUCGUGAACCAGCUUGACGGUACUGUAAGAAUAAGGAUCGGCUAACUCCGUG